rnacentral:lncRNA from 1 species
CCAGUGGUGAGACCGGUCGACCAGCUGGUCGAAGAGGACGCCGCUGGAUCGCUGAGCGACUAACACACGGCGGGUGUCGGUGGUAUGGCGGUCAUCGUGAACCAUGUCAGGAAGACCGGUAGAGAGACACAGCAGCCGGCGCGACGCAAGAGAAGGUCGAAAAUCACCAGGCGGUCGAUGGCAGCCGGAGGAAACUGAGAAAUUGCGACGCCGCAGUAGUACAUCGCCUCGGCUACCAGAGGGGGAAGCGGGAG